AUCUUAGAUUGUAUUGAUUAUUCUUCGCUGUAGCGUCUGUCUCUCUCACACACUCACGCUAGCCCUCUUUCUCUCCCUUUCUGUCUGUCCCUCCCUCCCUCUUUCUGCCUCUGUUCUGCCAUCUUCUCUACUCGCCGAUCGGCAUUUGGCUUUUUCCAUUUGUGGCAGAUUACUGUAACGCUAUUGUACAACAACUUCCUGCCUAUUUUGGCUCUGGUUCUACAAACUGCAAAAGCAGAGCUUGUGGCUUCAACUUUUUCCCCUCGACCUUUAACUAAAGGAGCUCUAUAAGGAAAGAAAAUGAGGAAGGAGAUAUGUAAAGUGUGUCGGUGGCUGAGGAACUAUUUUCAUUGCAUUUCUGCUUUAUAAACUGCUGAGAAUUAAAGAGGGCAAGAGGGGACUACAUGCCUAGCAGAGACAAUAAGAGACACGAAGGAUUCAAAAAGAAGAAGAAGAGGAAGAGAGACACAGAGAGAAAAGGAGCAAGGGAAAGUUCCUCCUGGGAACAAGCUGGAAAUUAUGGACCGAUAUCAGACCUCAGAGUGGACAACCUAUCCAAAGAGGGACGCGCCCUAACUGUAACUAACAACUACUUCUGGCAGCCCUUCAACAGCCAAACAUUGUCCUGGAUCAGGGCAGCAUGGAACUAGGGCAGCUCAGGCAAGAAAUCAUAUCAAACUACAGUAUCAAUAAUGGCAGUCAAAGUAAAUAAAUGUGUUUCCUAAUGAGGUAGAUUUAGCUGUAAAUGACGAUACCUUCAAGAUUUUAUGCAUCAUAUUUGGAGAUGUUAAGGGGAUUCAGACUAAGACAGAUUAAACAUUUCUUCACCUUGAGCCACCUGAGACAACAUGGGAAGACUCCUGACAGUUAGCGUUAGUUCAUAUUUUAUUAAAUAUUAUCUAUCCUAUUAUAAGGUGUGACAUAUAUGUUGACAAUUAGUUUGUUCAUCCUGUGAGGUUACAAGACCAUGAUGUACCACUGAUACAUAGAACACCAAUUUAACCAUAUAUCUGAAGAUCUACAUUUUCAUUUGCCACUGUUUGACAAAAGCCGAAGUAAGCACAAAUAUGUUUUGCAUUAACAUGUGAGAUGACAUUAAUUAUAACAUAUAAAAUAAUAAAAUUAAAAUAUACUACAAUGUACUUCAGAUAAAUUGAAGAACCCAUUUAAAAGUUAUUUAUUAAUUGUAAUACCCAUGUUAUUAUAAUCCUUAUGGAGGUAAUACAUCAUUUUAUCGACAUUAAUAAUGGGUAUUAAGUGGCGUUACCCAAACUGCCCUGUAAAAACAAUGAUCUUAGGCACUACACUACCUGAGCUAACGUGACAAAUUCUCAAAAGUCAAUGAGGCACAAUAAUAAAAAGCCAAUUCUCCUUUUCUGUCCACUUGACUACUGUGCCGGGCUUCUACAUACCUGAACUCUCCCUUCGCGGUUUUACCCUGAGGGCUGCUAAUGCCUGCUUUAGACAGCCUUGGCCAUUUUGUUUUAUUCUUCCUCAACACUAAGCCAGGAGUACACAGGCCUGGCAUUUUCGGGGCCACGUCACAACGCCUGUGUCUGCGCUGCAGGGCUGAAAUGAGUCCAACAGUCAAGGCACACACACUCAGCGGUUCACUCCCUCAACAAACACUUCAUGUGCACUGUUUUGUUAUCACUCUCUCUAGCAUCCUUGCUCUACUGACAACAAUAAAAACAUGAACCUAAUGUGCUUUAUCCAUUUCAUGAAGAUGCUCUCCUUCAGGUGUCUUCUCCAACACAGCCACUGAACCUUCACCUACUGAAUGAAUUGUUCUCUCUUCUGAUCGCAUUAGUAAAGUUAGCUCAGUCACAAAAGGAUACAGUAGAUACUCCCAAAUGAUUUGAGCAAUGCCAUUUAACGAGCUUGAUAAACAACUAACUGUAUCUAUAGGAAAACAAGAUGUGGUAUUUUUUAAAAGGGGACACAGUGCUGGUAUUGAAAGCAACAAGGAUAAAAACACUGAUUAAGAAAAUUCUUCUUGAGCUGGCAGCUGCUAUUGAUGUGCAUAAUGAUAACAGAGGGGUAUUUAUCAAAAACAGCACUUUAUAGGACGUAGAGCAGCGUAAACAGAGGUUUUAUUACUCUGAAGGCUAUUUUGGCCAACUUAGUGGCUCUUUCAAUUCCAGUAAAAUAUUAUUACUAAAAGAAGCAAUAGACAAAUUGGUUUCCUUUUAAAGCGGCACUCUAUAUUUCUAAAUGUGUACAUUGUACAUUUGUGGGCAAAGGUGUGAACAGCACGCGGGAAACUGUGACUUGACAGCCGCUGACCCCUCAUACCAGCUUAGAGAGGCAGAGGGUCAUUCAGAGGACAUGGCGGUGGAGGGAGAAGUCAAUCUUAUCCUUCCGUUCCGCCACAGGCCUGUGUGCAGCGACAGCAAGAUGAGCUACACGGCUUUCCAAAAUCCACACUCGUUUGGCUGGGAGCAAGGCAUCAGGGCUGUGUGUAUUUCAAAGGAAAUGCUGAGGAAAGCGUUUUUUGUGAAGGCAACUGUGCACUUGACAGUGUGUAUUAACCGGCCUCUGUGUCUUUGCUCCGUUCCUACCCUUACGCAAUAUACCUCAACAAUAUGUCAUCUUUAGUAGCCAAAAUGGCAUGCUGCCCAUUUGUCUUAGUGGAGAGUCCUACCUUGUCUCAUCUUGAUAUGGUUCUCAUGUGCACAAACAUUUUUUUGUCAUUAUCUCGGCACAUUACGAACACCUGCCAAGCAGUAUAGGCCCAAGAGGUUAAAAGGCAAGAGACAACAAAAUGAGAGCGAGAGGAAGCAUCAGCUCUCGGGCUGCUGUCAAUUGAGCCUGUGCCUCUGUAAUGGCAGGGUGGGGGGUGGGGGUGAUUACCUGGCACAGAACCAACCACUAAUGCCCCUUAAAUGCCAGAGACUGCGGCAGAAAGGAAGGGAG